UACGUAGGGUGCGAGCGUUGUCCGGAAUUACUGGGUGUAAAGAGCUCGUAGGUGGUUUGUCGCGUUGUUCGUGAAAACUCACAGCUUAACUGUGGGCGUGCGGGCGAUACGGGCAGACUGGAGUACUGCAGGGGAGACUGGAAUUCCUGGUGUAGCGGUGGAAUGCGCAGAUAUCAGGAGGAACACCGGUGGCGAAGGCGGAUCUCUGGGCCAUUACUGACGCUGAGGAGCGAAAGCGUGGGAGCGAACAGG
rnacentral:rRNA from 1 species